UGACGUCGUUACAGUGAAUUAAUCCUUUAAGUAUAUUCUUUUAAGGGGAGUUAAUGCUGUCAGGGAACAUCAGAGGUUAGCAGCAAACACGACAGAGCUUUAUUGCACACAUGCUAAACACACGCAGGUUGAAGAGGAGGUAGUGAAGAUGGACCAGGGACCAGAGUGAAGCGCACACCUCAUUGCUGUUGGAGUAAGUGCGUAUCUAGGUGACAACAAUUUCUUCGCCUCAAUCUUAAACACACCUCCAUGACCUUUUCCCUUUCUGUGAAAACAUUUACUGACAGCAUGGCUUUGAUGAAACGCUGGCUGAUAAUUUGAAAGAGCUCGUCCAAUUUUCACGUGGUCUCCCGAGCUUUGGUGUUGUGGCCCAUGGUGUGACUCGAUGCUGUGACUAUUCCAGCAGGGACCCUAGGUGUCACAAAAUACAUUACCAGCCUUGUUUACCCUGGUAGAGAACACAAUUGCUAUAAUUAUUGUCAUUUUCAUCAAAGCCAGUGAAAGCUGAUGCGGUGUUAGUGUAAUGCAGUAAAAUUACAGGGAACACACUGAGAAGGGCCUAUUAAAAUGUCUGACAUUGGAGAGGGAUGACUGCUGCCCUACUUUUCACUCUACCAUUUCUUUCAAUUUACCUAUAUAUCUCUGCCCUAUAUCAUUGAUGCUGAAAAAUAAAGGGGAUACUUACCCCAUUAAACUGAGUAGAUGAUGAAAGCCACGUAUUAACUAAUAAAAAGUUAGUUGC